ACUGGAGUUUGAUCCCUGGCUCAGAUUGAACGCUGGCGGAAUGCUUUACACAUGCAAGUCGAACGGUAGAGGGGGCAACCCCUCGAGAGUGGCGAACGGGUGAGUAAUAUAUCGGAACGUGCCCAGUCGUGGGGGAUAACGUAGUGAAAAUUACGCUAAUACCGCAUACGAUCUCAGGAUGAAAGCGGGGGACUCGCAAGAGCCUCGCGCGAUUGGAGCGGCCGAUAUCAGAUUAGGUAGUUGGUGGGGUAAAGGCUCACCAAGCCAACGAUCCGUAGCUGGUUUGAGAGGACGACCAGCCACACUGGGACUGAGACACGGCCCAGACUCCUACGGGAGGCAGCAGUGGGGAAUUUUGGACAAUGGACGCAAGUCUGAUCCAGCCCCAUUCCGCGUGCAGGAUGAAGGCCCCUCGGGUUGUAAACCUGCUUUUGUACGGAACGAAAACGGUCUCUCUUAAUACGGGGGGUCUCGAUGACGGUACCGUAAGAUAACGCACCGGCUAACUACGUGCCAGCAGCCG
rnacentral:rRNA from 1 species